rnacentral:lncRNA from 1 species
NNNCCCCACCGCCGGCCCCUGCACCUCUGCGCGCGGACCGCCUGGGGCCGGAGCAACCCUUUGCCGUCCCAUUUUGCAGAGGAGGCGAGCUCAGGCCUGCCCAGAGUCACCGGUCGCGGGCCGGCGUCAAAGCGAUUAGCACCGUGCGGGCCUCAGGCCGGGGCUCGGAAAGCGUUGGGCUCCUUUCCUUUAGAUCACAUUGGCAGAGAAGCUCUAUGAGGACAGGAACUGUGACGCCCUUUUUGCCUCCUCCCCCAAAGGUCUUGUAAAGUAAUUGGGGGGGGGAGGCCAGGCAGAAGUGGAUGAUUUGGUAUAGAAAAGAGCACCCAGCCUGCAAAUUGGUGAUGCAGGGGAGUUAAUCCAUCUAAGUUAUGGGCUAGGAUACCAGAGGAGCCCAGCUGCAGCGGAAUCCAGGGGAGGGAUGAUGGACUUAAGGGGCAGUAGGACUAGAAAGAAGGAGAAAUAUUUGAGGUGGGUUUAGGAGAAUUAAUGGGAUUUGCUGGCGGAUAGAAAGGAUGGAUGGAGAGGGAGGAAUCAAGAAGUUCCCUGAGUGGUUUAGUAGUGCUGUGUACUGAAGUGGGGGAAACUAGAAGAGAAAUAGGUAUAGGGUAAGGGAAUAAAGUGUUCUAUUGUGUGGUUUAUGAUGCAAUGUGCAGUUGUCAUCUGUAAAGAUGGGUCUAUGAGUCUGGAGCUCAGAUGACACACACAUGGGCUGGAGAUGUGAACUGGGGGCAUAUAAAGGCUAUUUACCAUACUAAAAAUAAAUGAGCUCACUUAUGGUGAGAAGUAAAGUGAAAAAAGGCAGGCCCAGGGUAGAGUCCUGGAGAAUGCAAAUACUUGAGGUUCAGGCCCUACAAUGGGGAGAGAACUGGCCAGAGAGGCAGGAGGAAGACCAAAGGGAUCCCAAGAAAGGACAGCGUGUUGCGAAGGCUGGAAUGAUCAUCUGUGCCAAAUGCUGCAGAGAGAAGAGAGGUAUGCAUCACGAUGUGAAAACUGGGAACUCUCACGCAGUCUUGGAGGGUGCCAAAGAAUGCGGGAUACAGAUCUCCAGUUCAGAGCUCUCCAGAGGCAGUGAACUGUAUGUGGAUGGACAGAGAUGUUCACCUGUGUCUUCCCAGAGUCCAGCACUGUGCCUGGCAUGCAGUAAAUAAAUAUUUGUUGAACAGCAUGAUUUGCUAUGAGCAUAUUCCCUGCCUGUAAAGUUUAUGGUUGUACUUUUUUUUUUUUUAAGUAAGCUCUACACACAACAUGGGGUUUGAACCCAUGACCCCAAGAUCGAGUUGCAUGCUCUACCAACUGAUCCAGCCAGGUGCCCCUGUGGUUGUACUUUUUAAAUUAAUAAAAGGUUAAGCAACAUAUAAAGGAGA